AUAAUCUAGAGGGAAGUAGUUGCUUUAGAUCAAUCAUGGAAUUAGCACUAGAAUACACAACUCAUUUGUCCGAAGAGAGGCUCGAUAUGAAAAAUGUUCUAGCAAGGAUCAAGAAGAUCAAAAUUGAACUUUGCUAAAGCAAAACUGAGAUGGAAUAAAACGAAGAAGUUUGUUUCUUUGUCACAAUUUCUUUUCCCAUCUAAUCAGAACACAAAAAGAUGAUUAUUUGAAGCUUAUAUAUGUUGCUGCUAUUGAAAAACUUGUAAAUCGUCUGAAAAGUUUUAAGCCCUGUUUAGCUCCAUCGAUGUGUUGCGAUGUGUUACAGCUGU
rnacentral:lncRNA from 1 species